rnacentral:rRNA from 1 species
CCUACGUGAUGCUGCAGUGGGGAAUAUUGGACAAUGGGCGAAAGCCUGAUCCAGCCAUGCCGCGUGUGUGAAGAAGGCCUUCGGGUUGUAAAGCACUUUCAGUGGGGAAGAAAGCCUUGGGGCUAAUACCCUCGAGGAAGGACAUCACCCACAGAAGAAGCACCGGCUAACUCCGUGCCAGCAGCCGAGGUAAUACGGAGGGUGCGAGCGUUAAUCGGAAUUACUGGGCGUAAAGCGCGCGUAGGCGGUCUGAUAAGCCGGUUGUGAAAGCCCCGGGCUCAACCUGGGAACGGCAUCCGGAACUGUCAGGCUAGAGUGCAGGAGAGGAAGGUAGAAUUCCCGGUGUAGCGGUGAAAUGCGUAGAGAUCGGGAGGAAUACCAGUGGCGAAGGCGGCCUUCUGGACUGACACUGACGCUGAGGUGCGAAAGCGUGGGUAGCAAACAGGAUUAGAUACCCCUGUAGUC